rnacentral:sRNA from 1 species
CCCCACGCUGACGCGUGGGGCUAAAUUCUGUCGCCGCUACGCGGCC